AGUGAACGCUGGCGGUAGGCCUAACACAUGCAAGUCGAACGGCAGCACAGAGGAGCUUGCUCCUUGGGUGACGAGUGGCGGACGGGUGAGGAAUACAUCGGAAUCUACUCUGUCGUGGGGGAUAACGUAGGGAAACUUACGCUAAUACCGCAUAAGACCUACGGGUGAAAGCAGGGGACCUUCGGGCCUUGCGCGAUUGAAUGAGCCGAUGUCGGAUUAGCUAGUUGGCGGGGUAAAGGCCCACCAAGGCGACGAUCCGUAGCUGGUCUGAGAGGAUGAUCAGCCACACUGGAACUGAGACACGGUCCAGACUCCUACGGGAGGCAGCAGUGGGGAAUAUUGGACAAUGGGCGCAAGCCUGAUCCAGCCAUACCGCGUGGGUGAAGAAGGCCUUCGGGUUGUAAAGCCCUUUUGUUGGGAAAGAAAUCCAGCUGGCUAAUACCCGGUUGGGAUGACGGUACCCAAAGAAUAAGCACCGGCUAACUUCGUGCCAGCAGCCGCCGUAA
rnacentral:rRNA from 1 species